ensembl:misc_RNA Metazoa_SRP Metazoan signal recognition particle RNA
GCUGGGCACAGUGGCGGGUGCCUGUAAUCCCAGCUACUCAGGAGGCUGAGGCAGGAGAAUGGCUUGAACCCAGGAGGCGGAGGUUUCAGUGAGCCGAGAUCACGCCACUGCUCUCCAGCCUGGGUAACAGAGCAAGACUCAGUCUCAG